ensembl:lncRNA
CCUCGUUACUGUACUCUCCAUCUCCCUCAUCUUCUCAGUAUUGCUGCCAGGCUUGGGCUCAUCAACAUUUUCUGCUCAAUCUCUCUAUGACUUUAAACCCAUGAGCCUUAAUGACUUCUCAUCAGCUUUCAAUCCUCUCCCCCUCUCAGUCCACCCUUUCAUUUGUUAACGUGGUACUUGGUCCUGUCUAUGUUUAUAUCUGGUCCACCUUCGGUCAUCACUAUGGCAACUGCCUCCAUCUUGCCUGUCAUUCAACCCAUAGUACAAGCUGCACCUUUGGCUAGAACUCCAUAACAUCAGCAGUUUUCCUAAAGAAAAAUCCAUCACGCUUCCUCACCAGCCCAGCUCUGCUUUGCUUAUGAGCCCUGACAAGAUCACAGCUUGAGGGAGAAGAAACCUGCACCUCUCUCUACAUUUUCCCCAUGAAAAUUCUCCUCAGGAAUUUCCCCUCCGCAGGAAAAGCAGAUGAAGCAAAUGGAGAAGCUGUCAAUCAACAGGAGACAAUGCCAGGAGACCUACCUCCUGGGAGCCAGUCUGAUGGACACCUGCAGUCCAGGCUCACACCAAAAUGCCAUGCUCAGGGAAAUAGCACAAUGCUUCUUCUCCCAGGAGGCAUAAGGAGAAUGAAGACUACACAUGUUGGCAGUGUCUGGGUAAUGAGUAACGCUGAUCAAGAGACUCCAGUGACUUUGCGAUGAGCAUGAUUAGGGCUGCAUUGUCCAAGACUGUAAAUCCUUUCUGCAUGGCUGCUCACUGCGCGCAGAAGAGUCAGGCAUUUUCCUCUGAAUAGUAGAGAUUCACAGAGACUUUCAUCCAUUUUCCCUGGGUGAAGAGGGAUGGUGUAAGCCUGAGAGUAUGUCACUGAUGUGUAUUAAAAACAGGUUUGUUUAAGUCAUAAAUAACUAUUACAAAAAACUUAAAAGUAAAACAGGAGGCAUCUUAGUCUGAAUUUAAUUUGUGUUUGUGUACUCCCUGGCAGAUACUGUGUGAGACAGGUUUCAUCAAAAUGAACAGAUAUACUUUUCUGUGCCUACAAAUAAGAAAUAAAAGGUGUGGGGGGAAAAUACCCAGAAUUGUUUGUUUCUGCUAGAGCUGAGCUGCCAGCCAGUUUGAAAGCCAGAUGGCUGUAAGUUAAUUCCAGUACCAACUGUCCAAUUCCUAGAUGCCUGUUUGACAAUAUUGUUCUUCUUUAUUUGUUUACUUUAGGAAUAGCUCUGUAGGGAGGUUUACCAUCUCUAUCAUCCUCACUUAGGGGAAAGCCUAUGUGAAGAAAGAAAGGGUUAGGAAAACAGAACUGGGGAGGUUUCCCAGGGAAGCCUUUUUCCUAAUCCUUCCAGGAUUAUAUUGACUUGAGUGGCUUGCUGAAA